CCUACGGGAGGCAGCAGUGGGGAAUAUUGCGCAAUGGGCGCAACCCUGAUGCAGCAACGCCGCGUGAGUGAAGAAGUCUUUCGGUAUGUAAAGCUCUAUCAGGAGGGAAGAAAAAAGACCGUUCCUGACUAAGAAGCCCACGCUAACUUCGGGCCAGCAGCCGCGGUAAUACGUAGGGUGCAAGCGUUAUUCGGAUUUACUGGGUGGAAAGGGAGCGUAGGCGGGUGUGCAAGUCUGAAGUGAAAGCCCGUGGCUCAACCGCGGAACUGCAUUGGAAACUGUAUAGCUUGAGUACUGGAGAGGCCGGCGGAAUUCCUAGUGUAGCGGUGAAAUGCGUAGAUAUUAGGAGGAACACCAGUGGCGAAGGCGGAUGGCUGGACAGAAACUGACGGUGAGGCGCGAAAGCGUGGGGAGCAAACAGGAUUAGAUACCCCGGUAGUC
rnacentral:rRNA from 1 species